rnacentral:rRNA from 1 species
AUACGGAGGGUGCAAGCGUUACUCGGAAUCACUGGGCGUAAAGCGCGCGCAGGCGGCUUGAUAAGUUGGAUGUGAAAGCCUACGGCUCAACCGUAGAACUGCAUCCAAAACUGUCAAGCUCGAGUCUGGGAGGGGAAGAUGGAAUUAGUUGUGUAGGGGUAAAAUCCGUAGAGAUAACUAGGAAUACCAAAAGCGAAGGCGAUCUUCUGGAACAGUACUGACGCUGAGGCGCGAAAGCGUGGGGAGCAAACAGGAUUAGAUACCCUAGUAGUCC